GACGAACCGUGCGAACGUUGUUCGGAAUCACUGGGCUUAAAGGGCGCGUAGGCGGCCAGAUAAGUCCGGUGUGAAAGUCAAAGGCUCAACCUUUGAAUGCCGCUGGAAACUGCCUGGCUUGAGUCCGGAAGGGGCGAGUGGAAUUCCUGGUGUAGCGGUGAAAUGCGCAGAUAAUCAGGAGGAACACCAAUGGCGAAGGCAGCUCGCUGGAACGGUACUGACGCUGAGGCGCGAAAGCGUGGGGAGCGAACAGG
rnacentral:rRNA from 1 species